rnacentral:rRNA from 1 species
GACGAACGCUGGCGGCGUGCUUAACACAUGCAAGUCGAACGGAAAGGCCCUGCUUUUGUGGGGUGCUCGAGUGGCGAACGGGUGAGUAACACGUGAGUAACCUGCCCUUGACUUUGGGAUAACUUCAGGAAACUGGGGCUAAUACCGGAUAGGAGCUCCUGCUGCAUGGUGGGGGUUGGAAAGUUUCGGCGGUUGGGGAUGGACUCGCGGCUUAUCAGCUUGUUGGUGGGGUAGUGGCUUACCAAGGCUUUGACGGGUAGCCGGCCUGAGAGGGUGACCGGCCACAUUGGGACUGCGAUAAGGCACAGAAUCAUACGGGAGGCAGCAGUGGGGAAUAUUGCACAAUGGGCGGAAGCCUGAUGCAGCAACGCCGCGUGCGGGAUGACGGCCUUCGGGUUGUAAACCGCUUUCGCCUGUGACGAAGCGUGAGUGACGGUAAUGGGUAAAGAAGCACCGGCUAACUACGUG